ACUUCGGUCUGGCGGCGAGUGGCGAACGGGUGAGUAAUGUAUCGGAACGUGCCUAGUAGCGGGGGAUAACUACUCGAAAGAGUAGCUAAUACCGCAUACGCCCUACGGGGGAAAGGGGGGGAUCGCAAGACCUCUCACUAUUAGAGCGGCCGAUAUCGGAUUAGCUAGUUGGUGAGGUAAAGGCUCACCAAGGCGACGAUCCGUAGCUGGUUUGAGAGGACGACCAGCCACACUGGGACUGAGACACGGCCCAGACUCCUACGGGAGGCAGCAGUGGGGAAUUUUGGACAAUGGGGGAAACCCUGAUCCAGCCAUUCCGCGUGUGCGAUGAAGGCCUUCGGGUUGUAAAGCACUUUUGGCAGGAAAGAAAUCGCACCAAUUAAUACUUGGUGUGGAUGACGGUACCUGCAGAAUAAGCACCGGCUAACUACGUGCCAGCAGCCGCGGUAAUACGUAGGGUGCAAGCGUUAAUCGGAAUUACUGGGCGUAAAGCGUGCGCAGGCGGUUCGGAAAGAGAGGUGUGAAAUCCCAGGGCUCAACCUUGGAACUGCACUUUUAACUACCGAGCUAGAGUAUGUCAGAGGGGGGUGGAAUUCCGCGUGUAGCAGUGAAAUGCGUAGAUAUGCGGAGGAACACCGAUGGCGGAGGCAGCCCCCUGGGAUAAUACUGACGCUCAUGCACGAAAGCGUGGGGAGCAAAC
rnacentral:rRNA from 1 species